UACAGAGGUCCCGAGCGUUGUUCGGAUUCACUGGGCGUAAAGGGUGCGUAGGUGGUGAGGUAAGUCGGAUGUGAAAGCUCCAAGCUCAACUUGGAAAUGGCAUUGGAAACUACCUUGCUAGAGGGUUUGAGGGGGGACUGGAAUACUUGGUGUAGCAGUGAAAUGCGUAGAUAUCAAGUGGAACACCAGUGGCGAAGGCGAGUCCCUGGAAAACUCCUGACACUGAGGCACGAAAGCUAGGGGAGCAAGCAGG
rnacentral:rRNA from 1 species